rnacentral:rRNA from 1 species
UACGUAGGGGGCUAGCGUUGUCCGGAUUUAUUGGGCGUAAAGAGCGUGUAGGCGGCCUGGUAGGUCUGCUGUGAAAACUCGAGGCUCAACCUCGAGAUGUCGGCGGAAACCAUCUGGCUAGAGUCCGGAAGAGGAGAGUGGAAUUCCUGGUGUAGCGGUGAAAUGCGCAGAUAUCAGGAAGAACACCUAUGGCGAAGGCAGCUCUCUGGGACGGUACUGACGCUGAGGCACGAAAGCGUGGGGAGCAAACGGG